UACGAAGGCCCCGAGCGUUAUCCGGAUUUAUUGGGCGUAAAGCGUGCGUAGGAGGAUUUUUAAGUUCAAUGUUAAAUUUCGCUGCUUAACGGCGGAGCCGCAUUGAAUACUGAAAAUCUAGAGUGUGCGAGAGGCUAGUAGAACUCACGGUGUAGGGGUGAAAUCCGUUGAUAUCGUGGGGAAUACCAAAGGCGAAGGCAUCUAGCUGGCGCAUUACUGACUCUAAGGCACGAAAGCGUGGGGAG
rnacentral:rRNA from 1 species